UACGGAGGGGGUUAGCGUUGUUCGGAAUUACUGGGCGUAAAGGGCGCGUAGGCGGCCAACUAAGUCAGACGUGAAAUCCCUCGGCUCAACCGGGGAACUGCGUCUGAUACUGGAUGGCUUGAAUUCGGGAGAGGGAUGCGGAAUUCCAGGUGUAGCGGUGAAAUGCGUAGAUAUCUGGAGGAACACCGGUGGCGAAGGCGGCAUCCUGGACCGAGAUUGACGCUGAUGCGCGAAAGCCAGGGGAGCAAACGGG
rnacentral:rRNA from 1 species